CAAUAGCGUAUAUUAUUGAUGUUGCAGUUGAAACGUUCGUAGUCGAACUUUAUCUGCUCAAGUAUUACACUGUUUAUGACAGUGUGUUACUCUUAGCAGAGAGUGUGUAAAGGAUAUACAUGUUUCAUGUAUAUUUCUUUGCACUUUACUUUGAGUGAAUCGGCGUGUUCCACGCAGGCAUGUGCCUUGAACGAUUUACCAUAGUAUAAUCAGAGUAUGAAAAUACUUUUUUGUUUGUUCAAAAGUAUUUUUUAUACUGAAAGGAACGGUUGAGGGCAUUCGUAUUCAAUUGCUAGAGGUGAAAUUCUUUGAUUAGUUGAGGACGAACCAUUGCGAAAGCAUCUGCCAAGGACGUUUCCUUUGA
rnacentral:rRNA from 1 species